GGGCGAAAGCCUGAUGCAGCCAUGCCGCGUGUAUGAAGAAGGCCUUCGGGUUGUAAAGUACUUUCAGUUGUGAGGAAGGGUGUGUAGUUAAUAGCUGCGCAUCUUGACGUUAGCAACAGAAGAAGCACCGGCUAACUCCGUGCCAGCAGCCGCGGUAAUACGGAGGGUGCGAGCGUUAAUCGGAAUUACUGGGCGUAAAGCGCAUGCAGGUGGUUCAUUAAGUCAGAUGUGAAAGCCCGGGGCUCAACCUCGGAACUGCAUUUGAAACUGGUGAACUAGAGUGCUGUAGAGGGGGGUAGAAUUUCAGGUGUAGCGGUGAAAUGCGUAGAGAUCUGAAGGAAUACCAGUGGCGAAGGCGGCCCCCUGGACAGACACUGACACUCAGAUGCGAAAGCGUGGGGAGCAAACAGGAUUAGAUACCCUGGUAGUCCACGCCGUAAACGAUGUCUACUUGGAGGUUGUGGCCUUGAGCCGUGGCUUUCGG
rnacentral:rRNA from 1 species